rnacentral:rRNA from 1 species
UGGGGAAUAUUGCACAAUGGGCGCAAGCCUGAUGCAGCCAUGCCGCGUGUAUGAAGAAGGCCUUCGGGUUGUAAAGUACUUUCAGUCGGGAGGAAGGUGGUAAGGUUAAUAACCUUAUCAAUUGACGUUACCGACAGAAGAAGCACCGGCUAACUCCGUGCCAGCAGCCGCGGUAAUACGGAGGGUGCAAGCGUUAAUCGGAAUUACUGGGCGUAAAGCGCACGCAGGCGGUUUAUUGAGUCAGAUGUGAAAUCCCCGGGCUUAACCCGGGAAUUGCAUCUGAUACUGGUCAGCUAGAGUCUUGUAGAGGGGGGUAGAAUUCCAUGUGUAGCGGUGAAAUGCGUAGAGAUGUGGAGGAAUACCGGUGGCGAAGGCGGCCCCCUGGACAAAGACUGACGCUCAGGUGCGAAAGCGUGGGGAGCAAACA